rnacentral:lncRNA from 1 species
UAAAACACUUGUGAAAGAAGCGUAGAACACAGCAGCAAGGUUUGUCCUAAGUUGGUACUCAAGGAAUGACAGUUGCACCAAAAUGAAAAAUGAACUAGGAUGGAAAUUACUUUCAUCCUGUCGAAGAAAACUGCGGUUAAAGUUCUUAUAUCAAAUAUUUCAUGGCAAAACUGGCAUUCAAAAGGAAAUGUGUCUUCACAGUCCUCAUUAUGUCUCUUCGCACAACGAUCAUUGUUUUAAGAUUUUGGAAUACCG